GGCUGCUAUACAUGCAAGUCGAGCGGACCUCUUCGGAGGUUAGCGGCGGACGGGUGAGUAACACGUGGGCAACCUGCCUGUAAGACUGGGAUAACUCCGGGAAACCGGAGCUAAUACCGGAUAGUAUCUUGAACCGCAUGGUUCAAGUUGGAAAGACGGUUUCGGCUGUCACUUACAGAUGGGCCCGCGGCGCAUUAGCUAGUUGGUGAGGUAAUGGCUCACCAAGGCAACGAUGCGUAGCCGACCUGAGAGGGUGAUCGGCCACACUGGGACUGAGACACGGCCCAGACUCCUACGGGAGGCAGCAGUAGGGAAUCUUCCGCAAUGGACGAAAGUCUGACGGAGCAACGCCGCGUGAGUGAUGAAGGUUUUCGGAUCGUAAAACUCUGUUGUUAGGGAAGAACAAGUGCGAGAGUAACUGCUCGCACCUUGACGGUACCUAACCAGAAAGCCACGGCUAACUACGUGCCAGCAGCCGCGGUAAUACGUAGGUGGCAAGCGUUGUCCGGAAUUAUUGGGCGUAAAGCGCGCGCAGGCGGUUUCUUAAGUCUGAUGUGAAAGCCCCCGGCUCAACCGGGGAGGGUCAUUGGAAACUGGGAAACUUGAGUGCAGAAGAGGAGAGUGGAAUUCCACGUGUAGCGGUGAAAUGCGUAGAGAUGUGGAGGAACACCAGUGGCGAAGGCGACUCUCUGGUCUGUAACUGACGCUGAGGCGCGAAAGCGUGGGGAGCGAACAGGAUUAGAUACCCUGGUAGUCCACGCCGUAAACGAUGAGUGCUAAGUGUUAGAGGGUUUCCGCCCUUUAGUGCUGCAGCUAACGCAUUAAGCACUCCGCCUGGGGAGUACGGUCGCAAGACUGAAACUCAAAGGAAUUGACGGGGGCCCGCACAAGCGGUGGAGCAUGUGGUUUAAUUCGAAGCAACGCGAAGAACCUUACCAGGUCUUGACAUCCUUUGCCACUUCUAGAGAUAGAAGGUUCCCCUUCGGGGGACAAAGUGACAGGUGGUGCAUGGUUGUCGUCAGCUCGUGUCGUGAGAUGUUG
rnacentral:rRNA from 2 species